rnacentral:lncRNA from 1 species
CCUUGUGUCAUUAAACCCUACACAACAGCCAAUCUAUAGCUCUUCACUCACGCUCCUAUUGGCAUCGUCCCUUCUGAGAAAGAAUAUGUACAUAUCAAAGUGCGCACAUUUGUGCCAUCACAUAAAGAAAAUCACAUGGUUAUCGCCGCUGUGAUAGGCCGAUGCUCAUUACAAGAAACAUCUCUGCAACAUCUAUAUAGCUGGCCUCAGCUACUGUCUCAACAAGAUGGAACAGCUUGCCAAUUCAGAAUCUGUUCAUUCCCACCACAAGUGCCAUCAAAACUGCCGUAAUAUAUACUUCACUAAGGUACCAUGUUAUCAUCCGAACAUGUUUCACCGAAGGUCCAGGUUUGCGUUUCAUCAUUUUUUAGCAUAAGAGAACAACCUGCUAGAUGAUGCUGGCACAUUCUCCGACGUCAAUUAGCAGUUCUUCAAUAAGACCAUACAAUAGCACUUGCACUUCCUAAUGUACCAGAAUGCCAUGCACCAUACCACACAUCUGUGGAGAUUCCCUGUUCAGACUCCAUUUAAAAUGUAAAAUACACCUCACAUGGCUGGUGGCAUUCUUGGUGGUAUAAUGGUGCAACGUUCAAGUGUGUUUAAUGAGUGGCUUGCAAAAAGGAUUUGGAGAAGACGAUGCAGCAGUACGGUCAUUCUAAUGUGAGGAUACACAAGUAUUCCUUGAGCUUGUAACCAACCUACAGCACAUUUGAUUGGUCAGUUCAGAGCACUCCACAGGAAGGUUAAAAAAAGUGAAAUAAGAUAGUUGUUACGCUUUACCACAAAGAUAAUGUUAAAGUAGUGAUAACGUAGCCAUAUUUUAACUACUAGAACGACGGUGUUAUAGUUGUCUUACGAAUUUCU